rnacentral:rRNA from 1 species
UACAGAGGUCUCAAGCGUUGUUCGGAUUCAUUGGGCGUAAAGGGUGCGUAGGCGGCGCGGUAAGUCGGGUGUGAAAUCUCGGAGCUUAACUCCGAAACUGCAUUCGAUACUGCCGUGCUUGAGGACUGGAGAGGAGACUGGAAUUUACGGUGUAGCGGUGAAAUGCAUAGAUAUCUUCAAGAACACCGAUUGCGAAGGCAGCUUACUAAGCUUUAACUGACACUGAGGCACGAAAGCGUGGGGAUCAAACAGG